rnacentral:rRNA from 1 species
ACGAACGCUGGCGGCGUGCUUAUCACCUGCAAGUCGAACGGAAAGGCCCUGCUUUUGUGGGGUGCUCGAGUGGCGAACGGGUGAGUAACACGUGAGUAACCUGCCCUUGACUUUGGGAUAACUUCAGGAAACUGGGGCUAAUACCGGAUAGGAGCUCCUGCUGCAUGGUGGGGGUUGGAAAGUUUCGGCGGUUGGGGAUGGACUCGCGGCUUAUCAGCUUGUUGGUGGGGUAGUGGCUUACCAAGGCUUUGACGGGUAGCCGGCCUGAGAGGGUGACCGGCCACAUUGGGACUGAGAUACGGCCCAGACUCCUACGGGAGGCAGCAGUGGGGAAUAUUGCACAAUGGGCGGAAGCCUGAUGCAGCAACGCCGCGUGCGGGAUGACGGCCUUCGGGUUGUAAACCGCUUUCGCCUGUGACGAAGCGUGAGUGGCGGUAAUGGGUAAAGAAGCACCGGCUAACUACGUG